rnacentral:rRNA from 1 species
GACGAACGCUGGCGGCGUGCUUAACACAUGCAAGUCGAACGGAAAGGCCCUGCUUUUGUGGGGUGCUCGAGUGGCGAACGGGUGAGUAACACGCGAGUAACCUGCCCUUGACUUUGGGAUAACUUCAGGAAACUGGGGCUAAUACCGGAUAGGAGCUCCUGCUGCAUGGUGGGGGUUGGAAAGUUUCGGCGGUUGGGGAUGGACUCGCGGCUUAUCAGCUUGUUGGUGGGGUAGUGGCUUACCAAGGCUUUGACGGGUAGCCGGCCUGAGAGGGUGACCGGCCACAUUGGGACUGAGAUACGGCCCAGACUCCUACGGGAGGCAGCAGUGGGGAAUAUUGCACAAUGGGUGGAAGCCUGAUGCAGCAACGCCGUGUGCGGGAUGACGGCCUUCGGGUUGUAAACCGCUUUCGCUCAUGACGAAGCUUUGUGUGACGGUAGUGGGUAAAGAAGCACCGGCUAACUACGUG